GAUCCUGGCGUCUAGGAUGAACGCUAGCUACAGGCUUAACACAUGCAAGUCGAGGGGAAACGACAUCGAAAGCUUGCUUUUGAUGGGCGUCGACCGGCGCACGGGUGAGUAACGCGUAUCCAACCUGCCCACCACUUGGGGAUAACCUUGCGAAAGUAAGACUAAUACCCAAUGAUAUCUCUAGAAGACAUCUGAAAGAGAUUAAAGAUUCAUCGGUGAUGGAUGGGGAUGCGU
rnacentral:rRNA from 1 species